rnacentral:rRNA from 1 species
GUGGGGAAUAUUGGACAAUGGGCGAAAGCCUGAUCCAGCCAUGCCGCGUGUGUGAAGAAGGUCUUCGGAUUGUAAAGCACUUUAAGUUGGGAGGAAGGGCAGUAAGUUAAUACCUUGCUGUUUUGACGUUACCAACAGAAUAAGCACCGGCUAACUUCGUGCCAGCAGCCGCGGUAAUACGAAGGGUGCAAGCGUUAAUCGGAAUUACUGGGCGUAAAGCGCGCGUAGGUGGUUCAGCAAGUUGGAGGUGAAAUCCCCGGGCUCAACCUGGGAACUGCCUCCAAAACUACUGAGCUAGAGUACGGUAGAGGGUAGUGGAAUUUCCUGUGUAGCGGUGAAAUGCGUAGAUAUAGGAAGGAACACCAGUGGCGAAGGCGACUACCUGGACUGAUACUGACACUGAGGUGCGAAAGCGUGGGGAGCAAACAGGAUUAGCAACCCUGGUAGUCC